UUGUGGAGGAGGACGCCGAAGGUGGGGCUAAUGACUGGGGUGAAGUCGUAACAAGGUAGCCGUACCGGAAGGUGCGGCUGGAUCACCUCCUAACAGGGAGACAGCAAAAUGUAAAUAUUAAUUUUGUCACCUUAGGUCGAUCGGUAUCUCAGAUUCUUAUUUUUUAAGAAUUUCAGUUUCUAAGUUUUUUCUAGGUCACACCCAUCACUUUUUCCUGGGCCAUUAGCUCAGGUGGUUAGAGCGCACCCCUGAUAAGGGUGAGGUCCCUGGUUCAAGUCCAGGAUGGCCCAUAUCUCUGUGUUGGGGGUAUAGCUCAGUUGGUAGAGCGCCUGCUUUGCAAGCAGGAUGUCAGCGGUUCGAGUCCGCUUACCUCCACUGAAUACCACCUCUUACAUAUUUAAAGAGGGAAAUUGUUUUGAGUCGUGUCCUAAUUUGCUCUGAGCGAAUCUAGCUUCCUAUUUUAUUCAAUAAAUAAGAUGCUGGACUCAUUGAAUUUUUUUUCAUUGUUUUCAGAGAACCUUGACAACUGCAUAGAUUAUUUUUGAAGACAAUAAGCAUCUUUAAUGAUGCAGAUUUAUUAUUUGUGCGAAUGCGUUAAAUAGCAAUUCUAUUAAGCUGAUGCUUCAAUUAUUGAAGUUAUUGGUCAAGCUACAA
rnacentral:misc_RNA from 1 species